rnacentral:rRNA from 1 species
CCUACGGGAGGCAGCAGUGGGGAAUAUUGGGCAAUGGGCGCAAGCCUGACCCAGCAACGCCGCGUGAAGGAAGAAGGCUCUCGGGUUGUAAACCUCUUUUAUCAGGGACGAAGCAAGUGACGGUACCUGAUGAAUAAGCCACGGCUAACUACGUGCCAGCAGCCGCGGUAAUACGUAGGUGGCAAGCGUUAUCCGGAUUUACUGGGUGUAAAGGGCGUGUAGGCGGGAAAGUAAGUCAGAUGUGAAAACCCAGGGCUUAACCUGGGGCCUGCAUUUGAAACUGGUUUGCUUGAGUGCUGGAGAGGAAGGCGGAAUUCCUAGUGUAGCGGUGAAAUGCGUAGAUAUUAGGAGGAACACCAGUGGCGAAGGCGGUUUGCUGGACAGCAACUGACGCUGAGGCGCGAAAGCGUGGGGAGCAAACAGGAUUAGAUACCCGUGUAGUC